UUUGGGUGUUUUCCAAAAAAAAUUGGGUGCCUUUCAAGUCAAUUUUAUGUGCUUCUGAGAAACAAAGAUACAGAGUGCAAGAGAAAGAUAGGGAGAUUCAGAAAAGAGAGGGUGACGUGUCUCCGGCGAUAGGUUCCCGGCAUGUGGAGAUGGUGGCGGCUCAAGGGUGGUCUACGAAGUCGGAUAGAUGACUGUUGUGCUACGCUUCAAUCUUAAACGAUGACACCUUACCCGGCGACGAUACUACUGGCCGGCGUAAAACCUCAACGCUGUCGUUACUCCGGUGGUGGCCGGGUUUUUGCUGAUCUGAUCAGUUAUGGACAUGAAGUGAAGGUUUUCUUUGUCCAAUUUGCAUUAUUGUUACAUGAUUUUGGUGAUACGUUGCAUUCAUGGAUCGACAUUAUGCUUAAAUUGAUGUUAUAGUGAUUCGAACAACUGAAACGGAUAGGUUGUCAACUAGUUACAACCGAUGAUGUCGAUAAACUUAUUGCGGGUGAAUGCGUACCAACUACUAAUGGAUGACCAAGGUAGAUAGGUAAGCGAGUCCAAGUGCAGAUGCCAUAUAAUGAUAAUCCUUGAAGACGGCGAGGGGUCACCUUAUUAUUUUGGAUCUAGGCAUCUUUCCCUGCUGUGGUUAGCCGCCCGGCGAUCUCCGAGAGCGAUGCUAGGGUUACCCUUUGGAGUUUAGUUAUUGCUCAUUUGCGCGUGUUGACGUCCUCAGCUAUUUGAUUCACGUUACCAGGUAUUAAUCGGGCCUCCUUUUUCGGUCUACCUUUUAUUUUGUUGUAUUUAUAUAUGAUACUAGAGAGAUUUUGUUUUCAACUUUUUGCCUUUGUUACAAAGGGGAUCGAGGGACUAUGACUUCCCCAAAUCUGCAUAGCUUAUAUCGAUACUAAUUCAACAUCUUUUGAGUUUUUCUUGAUUAUACUCUUUUUUGGAUGUGGUGGGAAAUGACUUCCCUAAAUCCGCAUAACUGUGAGCGGUGAUCAAGAUAGGAAGGUUAACUGUUGAGUCCAAUAUGAUCCUCAUUGUAAACUUCUUUCCCCCAUCUUUUUAUUAUAAUGUUAUUUUCUAUCCAUUUUGCAAAGUGCUUUACUCUUUAUCAAGAGCAGUCAAGUAUUUUACUAAAAUAUGGUUGAUUUGGUAAUUUUACUAUUUUACACUCCAUCCUCAUUACUAAGGGGGUGUUUGGCCUAGCUUUUUUUUAACAAAAUAAGCUUCAUUUGGUGUUUAUUUUAGCUUUUUAAACUUAUGCUUAUUAGCUUAUAUAAGCUAAUUUGAAUAAGCUUAUUUGAACAUGGUUUUUAAGCUUAUUUGAAGAAUGAUAGAAAAUAAGCUAUAAGCUAAUCCAAACACUUAAAAAGAGCUUAUCAAAUGAUAAAAAAUAAGCUAUAAGCUACUUUAAAAUAUAAGCAUAAGCCAAAAAAUAAAAGCUAGGCCAAACACCCCCUAAAGUUAUUGUAACUUAUUAGCCUCCUAAAAAAAUUUAUGUGCAUUUUUUAUUUAAUUUUAUACGUGCAUUUAGUAGUUAAUCUGUGAUUGCAUAAUGUGAAAAAGGGGACUUUGAUAUGAUCUUAAUAAUAAUUGGCGCUUUUGAUACUUUUUAUUUCUGUUUUUUCUGUUUUGAUCAGGUUACUGGGUUGGGUCGUCUAGCAAGUUUUGCUCUUCUACUAUGAUUCAAUUAUAUUAUGUGUUCUUUUCUAGUAAUAACUGAUGUGUACUCUGGAUACAAUGUGCAUACACAAAAACCCCUUUAAAAUUGUGUUUGUUAGGUAAUGAACCGAGUUGAAUGGGUUAUCCUAUGUUCUAUUUUCGGGUUACUACAGUUUUUUAAUGAAGUUAUUUUGGUUGAUUGGUUUUACAUUGUAGUGUGAUACGGGUGCAGCAUGAACUGGCGCACAAAGGGCCACCUACAUCUACAUUUUGCUGCCUAAAACUACAGCUUAAUUCUGAAAUUGAAUGUGUUUACUAGCUAUGUAUUUUGGUUCCCUUUAACAAAGAUAUACAAGUAUUAUAAUAUGUUAUGCUGUUUGUAAUAGCAUGAUGGGGUGCAAGUCAUCGGCAUAUCGACCUGAAGUCUGUCGCAGUUAUAUUGUCCCUUUCAAGCUAUUAAAUGUUGUUGGUGUAAUCAAUUAGAAUUGUGCAAUAUGGUGGGUUUUUUUUUUAAAUGGAACAGAAUCUGUAGUCAUUAUUAUCUGGUGAAAACAUCAUGGAUUGAUAUGUUUGUUAAGCGUAUAAAUUCAAAAUGUGUA